CAGAUUUUCCUCUAGUGGCGUUUGUGGAAUAGAUAGGUUUUUACUUUAUGAAUCUGGAAGAUUGCUACCGGCGGCAUUCCUGAACCCAAUUGGGUCCAACACGGAAGCUAAACUAGUUCAUAUGCAUCCGGACAACGUUGCCCAGAAGCAGGCACAACAAGCAAUGAAUUUCGAUACGGAACAACUGAGCAGAUGCAUAUCAGUGAAAGUUUAUUCCGUUCUGAGACAUUUCUACCAACGAAGUAAGGACACGAACGGUAUUGAAUUGAAUGAUGCUAAGCCAGAUCAACAAUGUGGGGAGACUGACGAUGUAGAUUCGCCACAGGUGGAAAUUAAUCACAAACGCAAGAUGUGACAUUAUCAGAUUCUCCCAAAGUGGUUUCUUACCAGCUAUGAAUACACCCGUUCGGAUGAUGUGGCUUUUUUGCUUCCAUCAACUGCAGUCAACAGCAUCGGCUUUCCCGUAGCAGUAUCCUCCAAGCCAUGGUGGCUGUUCCAGGGGACAACAUCAACAGCAGCAGCAUCUGGACCUGACCAUCGAUAGUGUUUCGAGCAACUUUCCAUAUCGGAGAUCUCGUGCUUCGCGCACAUUGAAGAAACCUCCUCAGCCACAUAUGUGUGUCAAGGAGAAAAAGGAGCUGGAUUCGAAUCGUCAAUCCAGACAACCCGAAUGCACCGAUUGCAUUAUAUAUCUUGUUUAUAUUUUAUAUGCAUUUUGUGUUUUUUUGAAUAAAAUGAUUAAAAUCGA